CAAAAUCUUAACCCCCAUUUUUAUUCCUUCUUUUUAUUCCUUUCCUUCAACCAAAACCACCACCCUACUGACCCAUACACCCCAUUCCUUUACCUCUUCAAAAACCCGCUCCUCCAUCAUUCCUUUAAGUAAGUUGUUCAACUUUUUCUUUUAUAUUGUGUACUUUGCAUUAUGUAGUAGUUAGUGUGUAGAUUCUUGAUUUUGGUUGCAAUGGGGUCUUAGACUUAUAGUUUGGUGUUGUAGCUGGUGUUUGGCGUUGAUUUGUGUAGAAGUGGUUAUGUGUUCUUUGUUGAAAAUUUUUGUGUGGGGUUAAAUGCAGCAUGUUGCUUGGGAGUAGUCUAUUUUGUCAAAUUACUCGAUUAUGAAAGGCCAUGUUGGUGGGUGGUGGUAGCACUUAAUAGUUAUUAAUUUGUGGAAGCUUGUGUGGGG
rnacentral:lncRNA from 1 species